AGAGUUUGAUCCUGGCUCAGGAUGAACGCUAGCGGCAGGCCUAACACAUGCAAGUCGAGGGGCAGCACGGUGUAGCAAUACACUGGUGGCGACCGGCGCACGGGUGCGUAACGCGUAUGCAACCUACCCAUAACAGGGGGAUAACACUGAGAAAUUGGUACUAAUACCCCAUAACAUCAGGACCGGCAUCGGUUCUGGUUGAAAACUCCGGUGGUUAUGGAUGGGCAUGCGUUGUAUUAGCUGGUUGGUGAGGUAACGGCUCACCAAGGCAACGAUACAUAGGGGGACUGAGAGGUUAACCCCCCACAUUGGUACUGAGACACGGACCAAACUCCUACGGGAGGCAGCAGUGAGGAAUAUUGGUCAAUGGACGCAAGUCUGAACCAGCCAUGCCGCGUGCAGGAAGACGGCUCUAUGAGUUGUAAACUGCUUUUGUACGAGGGUAAACGCUCUUACGUGUAAGAGCCUGAAAGUAUCGUACGAAUAAGGAUCGGCUAACUCCGUGCCAGCAGCCGCGGUAAUACGGAGGAUCCAAGCGUUAUCCGGAUUUAUUGGGUUUAAAGGGUGCGUAGGCGGUUUGAUAAGUUAGAGGUGAAAUCCCGGGGCUUAACUCCGGAACUGCCUCUAAUACUGUUAGACUAGAGAGUAGUUGCGGUAGGCGGAAUGUAUGGUGUAGCGGUGAAAUGCUUAGAGAUCAUACAGAACACCGAUUGCGAAGGCAGCUUACCAAACUAUAUCUGACGUUGAGGCUCGAAAGCGUGGGGAGCAAACAGGAUUAGAUACCCUGGUAGUCCACGCAGUAAACGAUGAUAACUCGUUGUCGGCGAUACACAGUCGGUGACUAAGCGAAAGCGAUAAGUU
rnacentral:rRNA from 1 species